AUUGAACGCUGGCGGAAUGCUUUACACAUGCAAGUCGAACGGCAGCACGGGGGCAACCCUGGUGGCGAGUGGCGAACGGGUGAGUAAUACAUCGGAACGUGCCCAGUCGUGGGGGAUAACGUAGCGAAAGCUACGCUAAUACCGCAUACGAUCUACGGAUGAAAGCGGGGGAUCGCAAGACCUCGCGCGAUUGGAGCGGCCGAUGGCAGAUUAGGUAGUUGGUGGGGUAAAGGCUCACCAAGCCGACGAUCUGUAGCUGGUCUGAGAGGACGACCAGCCACACUGGGACUGAGACACGGCCCAGACUCCUACGGGAGGCAGCAGUGGGGAAUUUUGGACAAUGGGCGCAAGCCUGAUCCAGCCAUUCCGCGUGCAGGAUGAAGGCCUCGGUUGUAACUAGCUUUUGUUACGGUAACGG
rnacentral:rRNA from 1 species